AGGCCUCCCGGGCGCCAGAUUAGAGCGCCCCCCCAAACCUGGGGCGCAGCGGGGUGGGAGGGCCGAGGUCACCCGGGGAAGAUCCCUAGGCGGGGGACCCCGAGAGGCCCUGGUCUGCUCCGCGGGCACCCCCUCGUGCCGGCCCGAGUUGGCCCACGUCCCCCUCGGGCUUUGUCUCCCCGGGACGUGGCGUGCCCAAGGUCGAGCAGAGGGCCUGCAUGCGCUGCCAGCUCUCCUUCGGCCCGCGCACGCGUUCCAGCCCCCACCCCAUACCAGAGACUGGGGGGGCGCGGGUCAGGAGCGCGUGCCGCCCCUGCUGCCCCAAGCCCUCCCUCUCUUCGGCACAAGAAGGCAGAUUCUGCCAUGUAGGGUCCUAGUCCUGGGCCGGGCCUGGGCUGGGCUGGGCAUGGGCAGGACACAGCCCACCGGACCCCUGCCCCAGGGAGCUCGGGGUCCACAGAGGCGAUCAGGGGAGACUGUGGAUGUGGGGGACCCAGCUCGGCCCACCGGUCUCCCCGCAGCCUCCGGGGUACACAGCAGGCCCUGCGGAGUUAACCUGGGCACCCCAGGGUUCCCCCUGACCCGGAGGGCUGCUUCCUCCCUGCUGGCAGCCAGGGGCCCUGCGCCUGGGGAGGGUGCUGGGCAGAGGGGCAGGAGCAGGGACCGGACUGCCUGGAGGCCGCCUCCGUGCAAUGCGCAGAGCACUGCACUGCUGGCCUGGUUUGGCCAUAUGGCUGGGACCAACAGCAAGGGUCUGGAGCCUGGAGUUCAAAUCCGGGGUCCUCCCCUUCCCGCCCGUGUGAACUUGGAAACUCAGUUCCCCUCCGAGCUUCCUCUUCUGCCUUCCCACAGCAUCUCAGUCAGCGUGACCUCCGAGGGUUUUCUGCAAACCAGGACUGUACUUCGUCCCCAGCCCCAGGAGGGUCCUGCGGUCUCCCCGCUCCCCGCCGCCCUCCACGCCGUCUCCACCACCAAGGAGGGGUCGGGCCAGGCCUUGAGCCAAGUCGGCUUCUCCUUCAUCCCCCGCUGAAAGCCGCCUUUGAACGCUGCCCGCCCGGGCCAGCCCAGCCCCUCUUGCUCUGGCUUCCUGCCUGCACUGGCAGGGCCACCCACCGGCCGGGUGCACAGCCCUGGGCCCCGCCCCACGCUCAGCCCGGAGGAGGAAAUUUCAUGUUGCUCGACUGAUUAUUUGAUCCCCGACUGACUCACCCGCGGCUGUGGCUUGGAUGCGGUGUGAGCGUCCCUUGGGCUUCCCCUGUGUUGAAAUCGAAGCCCCAUUAGGAGGCCCUGGGAGGUGGACAUUUCAUCCACUCUGGGGUUCACGCUGGGGCCUUUGGGUGGUGGUCAGGGUUAGAGAAGCUCGUCAGGGUGGAGCUCCUGUGACUGAGCCCUGGCUUUACAAGAAGAGGAACGCGGGCCAAGGUGGCACACGCCUGUAAUCCCAACACUCUGGGAGGCCGAGGCAGGAGGAUGCCAAGUGACAGCCCAGCCUGAGCAACUGAGUAACUUAGUGAGACCCUGACUCAGAAUAAAAAUAAGAAAAGGGCUGGGAGCGUAGCUCAGUGUGAAGGCCCGGGGUUCCAGUACUGCAAAGAAAGAAAGAGAAGACCCCGCAGCGCCUCAGGGCUCUGCAGCAGGAAGGCCGUUCCCAGGUGGCCCGGAGCUGUGAGCCAGGGCUACAGGGACCUCCCUUCCGGGCCUCCAUGCUUCCCCUGAGCAAGGCAAACCGACUUCCGCCCCAUCCCCUAAACCCGGGGAGGGCAGGGGUGAGGUCCACGCGUGCACGCGCAUGCACACAGGCUGUCCCGGCACACCGUAGGCCCCAAGCCCCUGCUCCCUGGCCGGCUGCUGGCCGGGCAGAUGAAGACAGGGCUCUUCAAAAGCUGCCGCAGAAACCCGCCCGUCUCCAUUUUUCUCUCCCUUUCUCGCUGUCUGUUGCUAUUAUUUGUGUGCGUGUGUGUGUGUGUGUGUGUGUGUGUUACUGGAGAUUGAAACCAGGGUCUUUGCACUGAACUAUAUCCUCAGUCCUUUUUUUUUUUUUUUGAGACAGGGUCUCACUAUGUCACUCAGUUGCCCAAGGUGGGCUAGAACAUGGGAUCCUCCUGCCUCAGCCUCCCAGAGUGCUGGGGUGA
ensembl:lincRNA uncharacterized LOC102006414